UGGGGAAUUUUGGACAAUGGGCGCAAGCCUGAUCCAGCAAUGCCGCGUGCAGGAUGAAGGCCUUCGGGUUGUAAACUGCUUUUGUACGGAACGAAAAGCCUCUCUCUAAUACAGGGGGGUGAUGACGGUACCGUAAGAAUAAGCACCGGCUAACUACGUGCCAGCAGCCGCGGUAAUACGUAGGGUGCAAGCGUUAAUCGGAAUUACUGGGCGUAAAGCGUGCGCAGGCGGUUUUGUAAGACAGUGGUGAAAUCCCCGGGCUCAACCUGGGAGCUGCCAUUGUGACUGCAAGGCUGGAGUGCGGCAGAGGGGGAUGGAAUUCCGCGUGUAGCAGUGAAAUGCGUAGAUAUGCGGAGGAACACCGAUGGCGAAGGCAAUCCCCUGGGCCUGCACUGACGCUCAUGCACGAAAGCGUGGGGAGCAAACAGGAUUAGAUACCCUGGUAGUCCACGCCCUAAACGAUGUCAACUGGUUGUUGGGGAUUUAUUUCUUCAGUAACGAAGCUAACGCGUGAAGUUGACCGCCUGGGGGAGUACGGCCGCAAGGUU
rnacentral:rRNA from 1 species